GCUUGUCUCAAAGAUUAAGCCAUGCAUGUCUAAGUAUAAACAACUUUAUACUGUGAAACUGCGUACAGCUCAUUAUAUCAGUUAUAAUUUAUUUGAUGGUGAUUUACUACAUGGAUAACCGUGGUAAUUCUAGAGCUAAUACAUGCUGGUUAGCCUGACUUCUAGGAAGGGCUGUAUUUAUUAGAUAACAAACCAAUAUUCCUCGUGUCUAUUGUGAUGACUCAUAAUAACUGAUCGAAUCGCAUGGGCCUUGCCCGCGAUACAUCAUUCAAGUUUCUGCCCCAUCAGCUUUCGAUGGUAGUGUAUUGGACUACCAUGGCUUUAACGGGUAACGGAGGAUUAGGGUUCGAUUCCGGAGAGGGAGCCUGAGAAACGGCUACCACAUCUAAGGAAGGCAGCAGG
rnacentral:rRNA from 1 species